CUGCGCAAAGCCAGAGGCGGACACUUUUUUCUUCUUACUGGCGGUAUAGCCCCCGGCGCUGCUGCCGUUGUGGAAAGGACUUGCCGGCCUCUUCUUGCUGUUCCGGGCUAUCCCCGGAGUGGAAGUGGUGGCCACAAUUGGAAUUUGAGCCGCCAUUCCUACCCCGAGUCUUCCUCCUACCCCCUCCCCACUUGGUCCCAGUGCAGGCCCUGGAACUUCCGGCCCGCCGUUACUUCCGUCUUAAUGCUUUUGAAAACCCGGCCUGGACUCCGAAAGCUUUCGUUGACUUCUCUCGGCCAAAUCUAAAAGGCGGAGCUCGGAGCUGUCUCUUCCUUCCGGGCGGGAGGGUGUCUGGCGGGCGGAGUGCUGCUGUUCACGAGCUCGGACCCGGGCACGUGCUUGGACGUCCCCCAGGGAUUGAGGAUUAGAACAUCCCGUGAUCUUUUUAAAACAACUGGAUUUUUAAAAAGUUAAUCACCACGUUGUCUCUUCUCACGUUAAGUCAGAAGAUUGAUCGCUUUUGAUGUCUCUAAGUGUAAAGUUAAAGCUCCCAGGAUCCACACCUUAGAUCCACGCCACAACUGUCACACGUUCAGAAGUGACACAGCUUCUCAAAACCACGCAAGUGUUUACUGAACACCCACCAUGUGCCUGGUGGUGGGCUGGGGACUAAGGAAAUGAACAAGCCUGAUCCCACCAAGUCCUCAAGGGGCUCUAGUCUGAAGCGUCAGAACACGUCUGACCAUCUGGCUCAAGUUCAACAAGAAGAGAGGUUCAUCCUGCUGCUCUCAGCUUUGGGAACAUUGUCUUUCUGACCUGAGCCCUUGAUGUCAAGGAGAUUGGGUGGACACAAGAGUGGAGAAGCUAAGUGUGAGCAGUGGUAAUGGUCACGCCCCAAGCACUUCCUCUUCAAGCAGUGUCUUUUCAGAUUGAGAUGCAUCAAGAAGGUAGGCAAAAGUAGCAACUUUUUUUUUUGGCUUCGCCGC